GACGAACGCUGGCGGCGUGCUUAACACAUGCAAGUCGAACGGAAAGGCCCUGCUUUUGUGUGGUGCUCGAGUGGCGAACGGGUGAGUAACACGUGAGUAACCUGCCCUUUACUUUGGGAUAACUUCAGGAAACUGGUGCUAAUACCGGAUAGGAGCUCCUGCUGCAUGGUGGUGGUUGGAAAUUUUCGGCGGUUGGGGAUGGACUCGCGGCUUAUCAGCUUGUUGGUGGGGUAGUGGCUUACCAAGGCUUUGGCGGGUAGCCGGCAUGAGAGGGUGAACGGCCACAUUGGGACUGAGAUACGGACCAGACUCCUACGGGAGGCAGCAGUGGGGAAUAUUGCACAAUGGGCGGAAGCCUGAUGCAGCAACGCCGCGUGCGGGAUGACGGCCUUCGGGUUGUAAACCGCUUUCGCCUGUGACGAAGCGUGAGUGACGGUAAUGGGUAAAGAAGCACCGGCUAACUACGUG
rnacentral:rRNA from 1 species